GCCGACGCCGGCGGCUACUGAGGGAGCAGCGCUAUAUAUAAGGAACGAAUUGGGAAAAAAAAAUCCGUCUUGGGCCCUCCUCUCAAGCCUUUAAGCCUCGUUUUCAUACUUUCUAAAUAUAUCCAUUGGGGUAUCUGGCUGUUCUUCUUCUCCGCCUUUCCUUUUUCUGUGAUCUUGUUAUCUUCGGCUGUAUUUCUUGGACUAAUUUCAUCCCCGGCUGUGAGGAACACGUUAAAGCUGCUUCGCCCUUGAAGGAUUGAAUUGAUUUCUCUGUGAAAGAAGGGCUUAAGAGGUGCGGUUUUUUAGUCUGUUGGGGGCAAUGGAGAACGAGAGCUGUUCAUGGGUGAGGAGGGCAAAGUUCGCACCAAACACUUACAUCCGUUCCGGUUCUUUUAAAUUCCCAUCCAUCGGAUGGGAUGAACAAUCUUACAGAAUCCUAGAUCUGAAGAAAGAAAUUAUGAGCUCCGAAUCAGUGCCAAUGGAGUCUGUUUCAGGCUCCACGAAUGCAGCUUUUUUGCCUGGUGGUUCUGCUAGAAAAACAGAUGGGAAAUCAGGGAGAAAGAUGGAGGAUUUCAGUCUUGUUUCUUCAGAUUCAGUUUCUACCAAAUCCUCGCUGCAACAUGGUGGCAGUGAGUCUUCU